UUACAGCCAUAUCACAUUGAAACACUGCUUCCUGUGUGAUCAUUGAAGUUAAGCAACGUCAAGCCUGGUCAGUACCUAGAUAGGUGACAGCUUGGGAAUACGAGGUGCUGU